UACGAAGGGGGCUAGCGUUGCUCGGAAUCACUGGGCGUAAAGCGCACGUAGGCGGCUUCUUAAGUCAGGGGUGAAAUCCUGGAGCUCAACUCCAGAACUGCCUUUGAUACUGGGAGGCUCGAGUCCGGGAGAGGUGAGUGGAACUGCGAGUGUAGAGGUGAAAUUCGUAGAUAUUCGGAAGAACACCAGUGGCGAAGGCGACUCACUGGACACGUAUUGACGCUGAGGUGCGAAAGCGUGGGGAGCAAACAGG
rnacentral:rRNA from 1 species